UACGAGGGGGGCGAGCGUUGUUCGGAAUUAUUGGGCGUAAAGGGUGCGUAGGCGGUUUGGUAAGUCUCUUGUGAAAUCUCCGGGCUCAACUCGGAGCUUGCAAGGGAAACUGCCGGGCUUGAGUGUGGGAGGGGUGAGUGGAAUUUCCGGUGUAGCGGUGAAAUGCGUAGAUAUCGGGAGGAACACCUGUGGCGAAAGCGGCUCACUGGACCACAACUGACGCUGAUGCACGAAAGCUAGGGGAGCAAACAGG
rnacentral:rRNA from 1 species